rnacentral:misc_RNA from 1 species
UGUAAGCUUGUUAUUUUAGCUGCUGUUGAACUACCUAGUUUUAUGAAGAUGUUCUCAGGAUAUACAGGUUUACAUAUUUUAUUCGUUCCUAAAAAUGAAUAUGCCGAUGAUGUUCUUUGUUUACUUUAUACCGAAGCAACUGCUAACGAUCAAUAUACUUUAGUAAAAGGUAAAGUAAAUUCUAGCACUUGUGAUACAACUGAUCCAAAAGUAAAUUGGUAAUAUUUAACUUGAAGUGGAAAUAUUAGAAAUCAGCCGAAUGCAAGAAAGCCAGUUGUCAUUAACUGGCUUUCUUGCAUGUGGA